AGAGUUUGAUCCUGGCUCAGGAUGAACGCUGGCGGCGUGCUUAACACAUGCAAGUCGAACGAUGANCCNNAGCUUGCUGGGGGGAUUAGUGGCGAACGGGUGAGUAACACGUGAGUAACCUGCCCUUGACUCUGGGAUAAGCCUGGGAAACUGGGUCUAAUACCGGAUAUGACUCCUCAUCGCAUGGUGGGGGGUGGAAAGCUUUUUGUGGUUUUGGAUGGACUCGCGGCCUAUCAGCUUGUUGGUGGGGUAAUGGCCUACCAAGGCGACGACGGGUAGCCGGCCUGAGAGGGUGACCGGCCACACUGGGACUGAGACACGGCCCAGACUCCUACGGGAGGCAGCAGUGGGGAAUAUUGCACAAUGGGCGCAAGCCUGAUGCAGCGACGCCGCGUGAGGGAUGACGGCCUUCGGGUUGUAAACCUCUUUCAGUAGGGAAGAAGCGAAAGUGACGGUACCUGCAGAAGAAGCGCCGGCUAACUACGUGCCAGCAGCCGCGGUAAUACGUAGGGCGCAAGCGUUAUCCGGAAUUAUUGGGCGUAAAGAGCUCGUAGGCGGUUUGUCGCGUCUGCCGCUGGUGUAGCGGUGAAAUGCGCAGAUAUCAGGAGGAACACCGAUGGCGAAGGCAGGUCUCUGGGCAUUAACUGACGCUGAGGAGCGAAAGCAUGGGGAGCGAACAGGAUUAGAUACCCUGGUAGUCCAUGCCGUAAACGUUGGGCACUAGGUGUGGGGGACAUUCCACGUUUUCCGCGCCGUAGCUAACGCAUUAAGUGCCCCGCCUGGGGAGUACGGCCGCAAGGCUAAAACUCAAAGGAAUUGACGGGGGCCCGCACAAGCGGCGGAGCAUGCGGAUUAAUUCGAUGCAACGCGAAGAACCUUACCAAGGCUUGACAUGAACUAGUAAGGCGCAGAGAUGCGUCCUCCACUUUGUGGCUGGUUUACAGGUGGUGCAUGGUUGUCGUCAGCUCGUGUCGUGAGAUGUUGGGUUAAGUCCCGCAACGAGCGCAACCCUCGUUCUAUGUUGCCAGCACGUGAUGGUGGGGACUCAUAGGAGACUGCCGGGGUCAACUCGGAAGAAAGGUGGGGACGACGUCAAAUCAUCAUGCCCCUUAUGUCUUGGGCUUCACGCAUGCUACAAUGGCCGGUACAAAGGGUUGCGAUACUGUGAGGUGGAGCUAAUCCCAAAAAGCCGGUCUCAGUUCGGAUUGGGGUCUGCAACUCGACCCCAUGAAGUCGGAGUCGCUAGUAAUCGCAGAUCAGCAACGCUGCGGUGAAUACGUUCCCGGGCCUUGUACACACCGCCCGUCAAGUCACGAAAGUUGGUAACACCCGAAGCCGGUGGCCUAACCCCUUGUGGGAGGGAGCUGUCGAAGGUGGGACUGGCGAUUGGGACUAAGUCGUAACAAGGUAACC
rnacentral:rRNA from 1 species